rnacentral:misc_RNA from 1 species
UCCCCGUUACCGGGGCAGUCUACCUAGAAAAAUACAACUAAGUACAAGGGUUGCGCUCGUUGAUGGACUUAACCAAACAUCUCACGACACGAGCUGACGACGGCCAUGCAUCAUCUGUCACCGAGUUCAAUAAAGCACUCACUCCUUUCGGAGUAAUUCUCGGGAUUUCAAACCCUGGUAAGGUUCUUCGGUUAGCAUCGAAUUAAAGAACAUAAUCCACCGCUUGUGCGGGUCCCCGUCAAUUCCUUUAUGUUUUAGUCUUGCGACCGUACUCCACAGGCGGGAUACUUAACGCGUUAGCUUCGCCACACAGGGGGUCGAUACCCCAUACGGCUAGUAUCCAUCGUUUACGGCGUGGACUAC